CUCUCCCGGCCCAUGAAAUCAAGUGUGGGUGAGACCUGGUGCAGAGCAGGAAGGCGACCCAUACUUGGUUUCAGAGGCUGCGAGAA
rnacentral:pre_miRNA from 1 species